UAAAUGCUUAAAAAUUAAAAGAUUUGGCGGUGGUUUAAUCUUAUUAGAGGAAUUUGUUUCUUAAUCGAUACCCCACGUAAAAUUUUACUUACUUUGGUAAGAUAAGUUUGUAUACCAUCAUUAUAAAGUGAUUCUUAAAAGGCAAAAUUUCUGGAAUUGCAUUGUUUAAAAAAAUUAGAUCAAGGUGCAGCUAAUAGGUAAGUUGAAAUGAAUUACAAUAACUUGUUUUAUAACGGAUUAAUAAAUGAAAUGUUAUUAUAAAGGAGGAUUUAAUUGUAAUGUGAGUUUAAUAAGCUUGCAAGAAAUAAGUUCUAAGCUGCGUACAUAUCGCCCGUCGCUUCCCUCCAUAAAGGGAAUAAGUCGUAACAUAGUAGGUGUACUGGAAAGUGUAUCUAGAAUAGA
rnacentral:rRNA from 1 species